rnacentral:rRNA from 1 species
GAUGAACGCUGGCGGCGUGCUUAACACAUGCAAGUCGAACGGGAUCCAAGGGGUGCUUGCACUUUUUGGUGAGAGUGGCGAACGGGUGAGUAACACGUGAGUAACCUGUCCUUUUCUUUGGGAUAAGCAUUCGAAAGGGUGUUUAAUACCUUAUGUUCUGUCUGCCUCGCAUGGGGUGGGUGGGAAAGGCUUUGGCCGGAUUUGGGUGGGCUCGCGGUCUAUCAGCUUGUUGGUGGGGUGAUGGCUUACCAAGGCUUUGACGGGUAGCCGGCCUGAGAGGGUGGUCGGUCACAUUGGGACUGAGAUACGGCCCAGACUCCUGCGGGAGGCAGCAGUGGGGGAUAGUGCACAAUGGGCGAAAGCCUGAUGCAGCGACGCCGCGUGGGGGAUGAAGGCCUUCGGGUUGUAAACUUCUUUUGCUCUGAACAAGGCAUGCCAGUGGGUGUGUUGAGUGUAGGGGUUGAUUAGCGCCGGCUAACUACGUG